UACAGAGGGUGCGAGCGUUAAUCGGAAUUACUGGGCGUAAAGGGCGCGUAGGCGGUUAGGAAAGUGUGAUGUGAAAGCCCCGGGCUUAACCUGGGAACUGCAUUUGUGACUGCAUGGCUAGAGUACGGUAGAGGGGGAUGGAAUUCCGCGUGUAGCAGUGAAAUGCGUAGAUAUGCGGAGGAACACCGAUGGCGAAGGCAAUCCCCUGGACCUGUACUGACGCUCAUGCACGAAAGCGUGGGGAGCAAACAGG
rnacentral:rRNA from 1 species